rnacentral:rRNA from 1 species
AUUGAACGCUGGCGGCAUGCUUUACACAUGCAAGUCGAACGGCAGCGCGGGGCAACCUGGCGGCGAGUGGCGAACGGGUGAGUAAUAUAUCGGAACGUACCCAAGAGUGGGGGAUAACGUAGCGAAAGUUACGCUAAUACCGCAUACGAUCUAAGGAUGAAAGCAGGGGAUCUUCGGACCUUGUGCUCCUGGAGCGGCCGAUAUCUGAUUAGCUAGUUGGUGAGGUAAAGGCUCACCAAGGCCCCGAUCAGUAGCUGGUCUGAGAGGACGACCAGCCACACUGGAACUGAGACACGGUCCAGACUCCUACGGGAGGCAGCAGUGGGGAAUUUUGGACAAUGGGCGAAAGCCUGAUCCAGCAAUGCCGCGUGAGUGAAGAAGGCCUUCGGGUUGUAAAGCUCUUUUGUCAGGGAAGAAACGGUGAGGG